rnacentral:lncRNA from 1 species
UUAGAUAUAAAAAUUAUCUUCAUAUUUGUUGCUAUUUGAAUCGGUCGAGAUCAAAAAAUAGAUAUAUGAUAUCUUCGAACGAAGAUAUCAUUGCUGGAGCGACCUGCAAAAUAAUUUUCAAAUCAGAAGUUGUGACUCCGGUGAGGAUUUUCCGACGCUCAAAUCAGAAAAAUAGAGAACAAAGAAGCAGCAAUAAAUUUUCUGAGAGAAAUUUGAUAGAACUUACCUG